GAUGAACGCUGGCGGCGUGCCUAAUACAUGCAAGUCGAGCGAACGGACGAGAAGCUUGCUUCUCUGAUGUUAGCGGCGGACGGGUGAGUAACACGUGGAUAACCUACCUAUAAGACUGGGAUAACUUCGGGAAACCGUAGCUAAUACCGGAUAAUAUUUUGAACCGCAUGGUUCAAAAGUGAAAGACGGUCUUGCUGUCACUUAUAGAUGGAUCCGCGCUGCAUUAGCUAGUUGGUAAGGUAACGGCUUACCAAGGCAACGAUGCAUAGCCGACCUGAGAGGGUGAUCGGACACACUGGAACUGAGACACGGUCCAGACUCCUAAGGGAGGCAGCAGUAGGGAAUCUUCCGCAAUGGGCGAAAGCCUGACGGAGCAACGCCGCGUGAGUGAUGAAGGUCUUCGGAUCGUAAAACUCUGUUAUUAGGGAAGAACAUAUGUGUAAGUAACUGUGCACAUCUUGACGGUACCUAAUCAGAAAGCCACGGCUAACUACGUG
rnacentral:rRNA from 1 species